GCGGGCGUAAGAGACUUGAAGGGGGCUGCUCCUAGUACGAGAGGACCGGAGUGGACGAACCUCUGGUGUUCGGGUUGUUAUGCCAAUAGCAUUGCCCGGUAGCUACGUUCGGAAUCGAUAACCGCUGAAAGCAUCUAAGCGGGAAGCAGGCCCCAAGAUGAGUUAUCCGGGCUUUAAGCAUAAGGGUCGUUGCAGACUACGACGUUGAUAGGCUGGAUGUGGAAGCCAAGUGAUUGGUGAAGCUAGCCAGUACUAAUUACCCGAAAGCUU
rnacentral:rRNA from 16 species